rnacentral:rRNA from 1 species
UACGUAGGGGGCAAGCGUUGUCCGGAAUUAUUGGGCGUAAAGAGCUCGUAGGCGGUUUGUCGCGUCUGCUGUGAAAACUCGGGGCUUAACUCCGGGCCUGCAGUGGGUACGGGCAGACUAGAGUGCGGUAGGGAGACUGGAAUUCCUGGUGUAGGCGGUGAAAUGCGUAGAGAUCAGGAAGAACACCGGUGGCGAAGGCGCUCUGCUAGCCGCAACUGACAGCUGAGGGACGAAAGCUAGGGAGCGAAUGGG